rnacentral:sRNA from 1 species
AAAGGCUUAAGGGGUUCAAGUUUCCGUUUUUUUCCCUGGCAACAUAUAAAUAAAUAACAGUAUCUAACUACGGAGUACUAGUAACUACACUGCGUAUGGCGCCCACGCGAAAGGAAAAGUGCUCUGCAGAGUCCGUCGGCCAAUCUUUCGUCUUCCAUCGUCUCAUUUCCUACGCGCCGGACCCUUUACCUGCGUUUAAACUACCACCACCACUAACUACUAACUAACGAGUACGGCGUAAGAUUUGCAUCAUUGACCCCCCCCCCAGAUCCGCGGUCCAUUUCCGCGGAAUCAACCCUGUCAACCCUGGGGGGUUGACAGGUUAGUUAGUUAUUUCGUUCGUCGUUGACUGGGUCGGGAGGUAGGUACAGCGUACUCCGUACAGUAGUUAUCCAUAACUACUUUCCUUGCAACACCCCCGUGCCAGGUCGUUCUGGUCUGGUCGCUCUUAUCAAGCUCAACAAUCGCUGAUGUUUUUUUUUUUUUUUUUCUCUCCCCUAAUCAUACUAAUUUUUUUCUGGCUCUCUGGAACACACACACACACACACACACACUGUUUUUAAUUUUUAAUAGUUGAUUUCAAUUUACUUUUGUGGUUGUUGAGGAAUCGAAGAUUUAAAGGCCCAUUUCAUUACCUUUGGUAGUAGUUGGGAAACCAAAAAGACACUUUUGCCUUUAUCCCCCACCUCAGUAGAAAUAGGAGGAAACAGAAAACUUCCCUUGUUAGAAGAAAUGCAUUCCACACCAC